rnacentral:rRNA from 1 species
AUUGAACGCUGGCGGCAUGCCUUACACAUGCAAGUCGAACGGUAACGCGGGGCAACCUGGCGACGAGUGGCGAACGGGUGAGUAACACGUAGGUGAUCUACCCUCAAGAUUGGGACAACCCAGGGAAACUUGGGCUAAUACCGGAUGAAAGCAGCAGUGAUGUUGUUUGAAAGGUGGCGUAAGCUGCCGUUUGGGGAUGAGCCUGCGCUCUAUUAGUUAGUUGGCGGGGUAAAGGCCCACCAAGGCGAUGAUAGAUAGGCGGCCUUAACGGGUGGUCGCCCACACUGGGAUUGAGAUACGGCCCAGACUCCUACGGGAGGCAGCAGUCGAGAAUAGUCUACAAUGGCCGAAAGGCUGAUAGUGCGACGCCGCGUGAACGAAGAAGCCCUUCGGGUGUAAAGUUCUUUUAUAUGUGAGCAGUGCUUUCUAUGUGAACAGCAUGGGGAGAGAGGUAUUAGCAUAUGAAUAAGCAACGGCUAACUCCGUGCCAGC